CUGGAAAGCAAGCUGCCCACCUGACGGGGCUCCCUUCCCCUACAAGGACACCCUGUUCCCAGAGAACUCCCAGGGUCCCCUCUGCUGGAAGGGCUUGUGGGCAGCUCCAGACUGCUCCACGGUUUGUGCAGGGAGAGGAGCAGGCCGCUCUCAUGGCCAGAGCUACUCGACACGCUGGGAUGGAGCCAGACUCCAGCAGGAGCCAACUCAGGGCUCAGCGUGUCCCCAGGCUUCCUGUGUUGGGAUGCAUCAGAAGGGACACCUGAGUCCACCGUGCAGUUCAGAGGUGAGGCUUUGGCGGGAAGUCGGAUCAGGUAGUCAUUUGGGUGGGGCCCAGGGGUGAGUCUAAGGGCUUUCUAAAAAGAUGGAGAGUCCAGACCUGAAAGCACGCAUGUACAUGCACACACACACUCACGCACACACACACACACUCACAAACAUGCACUCACACACACACUCACACACACUCACACACACACACACACUCUCACACUCACACACACACUCACACACACUCUCACACACAGACUCACACACACCCCCCACACAAACACACACUCACACACUCACACACAGUCACACACACUCACUCACACACACAGAGUCACACAUGUCCCUGUCUCUUGCCAAGUGAUGCUCAGGGCCGGAAGCAGGCAUCAGCAGGGCUGGGCUGUGCCUCAGUGGCACGUUUCAGGCCCUGAUUUCCAGCCCAGCAUCAAACACACAACUGUCACCAAAUGUGCCUCCGGGUCUUGUGCCUCCAGAACAAUGCGCCAAACAAACCUUUUCCUCUGUGACUCACCCCCUCUGUGCUGUUGGGAUCCCAGCCACACAAGACGGACAGACGGGUGGCGUUCCAGUUGGGUCAGUGAGGGUUGAAUCAGUGACUUCUGCAAUGGCCGUCUAGGUGUUGGGGCUACCUGUCCCACUGAAGAUGACCAGACAGAACAUUAAAAGAUUUGCUUGGGGUCACAGACCAGCCCGCCCAGCCCCAGGAGCCACAGAAACCCCGGCAACAUGAGCCAGUUUGGAGGCCUCUCUGCCGUGAGGUUUGCCGGUCACUAAAAGACAGCUGGGGGCUGGGCAGUCACCCCAACAAUAUACGGCACAGGUCAGGCCUAGGCCUACAGAGGGCAUGGACUUGGUCUCGGGACACAGGAGGGCUGCUCCUUAGGACUUGGGGUGCGUGGACAGCAGCCAGUCCUCUUGGGCACUGCCAGCUGCUUUUGAGACAGCAAGGUGUCCCAGGGAAAAACUCCACUCCUGGAGUGACCUUCAGGUCCUUACAGGGUGGUGGUGUCCUCAGGCUCCCGGGGAAACCGCAGGCUUCCUGAAUGUCGGUGCUGCUGUUGGCUUUUCUUUCUUUUCAUAUCAGGACGUGAUUGAAUGAAGCAGUUCAUGAGGAGGAGAAGCAACGCAUCCCACGACCGUGGGGGACAGAUGGGAAGCAGAUCCACAGGUGCUAUGGGGACUGUCUGGGAUGUGGCAAAGCAGCCACCCUCCGAGGAGGCUUGUGGCCACCUCCUGAGGAGACAGCCCAUCCCGGGAGGCUGGGAGAGGUGGACAGAGCUGCCCUCCUCAGAAGACACGACUGACCCGUAGGCGGUUCCAGGGCUUCCAGGAAUCAGCUGUCAGGAUGAGCGGUUCACAAAACCCAGAGGUGCUUCUGAAACAAGUCACAAGGAAUCAAAAAGGAGCAGUUGUAAACCUGCAGCACAGCCCUGAAGGCAAAGAGCUGAGGCUGGAACUAGGGCGCCCUCCAUCCUCUGUGCAGGAAGCUUUCAAACAGGGACCAGGAGACCUAAGACCGGACACAGGAAGUCCAGCCCACAAUCACGGGCAGUCCACGUGGCCCGGUGCUGAUGACCUGAAGAUUCACUGCAUUAUCGGUUAAAUCCCCACUUUCUGGUGAUGCUGGACAAGAAGAAUUUAGCACAUACGCGAAGGCAAGAUGGCCUUGCUCAGGAGCAAGGGGCAGACGGCUCCACUCAGUGCAGAGCUCGCUACAGAUCUGCAGGGAUGGGACCACGGCCCUGGCACAGGCACACGCAGGCCCACGGAGCCCAGCAAGGGGCCCAGAAACAAGUCCAGGCGUGUUCUGACCUUUGGCUUAACAACAGCAGUGGCUGUGCCGAGAAAUGGGGAAAGAACUAACUUUAACACAUUCCAGGAACGAAGGGACCUUCCUAUGAGAAAACGAGAAGUCAAGAAGUCAACUUGACUUUCAUCAUACAAAAAAACAAAACAAGAGGAAAAAAAAAUCGAUGUUGGGGGAAUUACAAACCCCAAUGUGGAGGUAGAAACAGGAGCUUUAGAUCAAAUUAUAAGCUAUCAAAUAACUUCACAGGUAUUUUAUUCAGGACAGAAAAUCACUAACCACAAAGGGAAAGUUUAAAAACUGACACAAAGAUUAAGGACGUUUGUUUUUCAAAACACACCACCAAGAGAGUGGAAAGACAAGCCACAGGGGACAGAGAUAUUUCAACACAGGCGUGUGACAAAUGACUUGUAUCUGGAAUAAAGAUCCCUGUAAAUCAGCCCUCUGCCGAGCAGAGAUGGGCAAACAGGCCCCGGUGGACUCCAGCAGGCAGGAGGUGGCAGGGGGCGGAAAAAAGGGCUCCUGCCCAACUUCACAUGUGACCAAAGUCACUGAAGUCACGGGAGCACACCACCCACACCACCUGCUCCACCAAGGGCAGGUGUGUCCAGGACAGCGCCGUGCACGGUUCUGGUGGGGAUCAGAGGAAACUGGGGCUCCUGUGCUGGGCCGAGGACGCACGCUGGCCCAGGCAUGUUGGAAGACCAUCGGCGUCCCUUCCUACGUGGUCUCCUGUGACUCUGCUCAGCAGAACAGUGCCAGCCACAGAGCAGACACAGCGAGAAGGCCCAGCCCGUGAUGGAGAUGACCAGGAUGUCCAUCGGCUGCAGAACGGGCCCAGCCCGAGGCCAGUCCAUUCCCAGGACUCCCCUUCACCAGUAAAAUCCACCAACACUAGCUUCCUGCAGAAGCUCCGUGGGAAUUCACAAACGGAGGUUGAAGGAGACAAGACUGAGUGAAGAAUGCCGACUAUAUAACUGUGUCUGUGUGACGUUCAGAGGGUGCAGGCCUGGAAGGGCUGCGGGGCUCCCCCGGCUGCACCCUUAGUUCCUGGUGUCCUCGGUGACCGGACGUCGCGUUUCACUUAAAACAACAACAACAAAACACAGACAAGAAACUAACAAUAAAAGGGAGUGUCAGUAAGAUGGAUGUCCCCCGGCCCUGCGACCGCCUACAGUGGGCGUGGACAGCCUGGGAGGGUAGGCCUUGCCGUCCUGCCGCUUUUCUUGCUGUCAUAAGCCAGCCAGGUCACCAACAGACCAGAUACGUCUCUGUCCCUCCACUGCGUCAGAACUUACUGAAUGAGUUAAUCCUCAGGUGACACCACUCUCAUCAGUGGCAGUGCAGUGGAUACGUGUGGGUCCCUGGUGUCAGGCUGGGCAGUCACAGGGUCACUCAGUCUUGAUUUCUACAUCUGUCAGGCUCAAGUCACACAACACACUCUACACAACUAUAUGUACAGGCUACCGAGAGGCUGAACCGUGCGGCGGCCUCAGGCUUCAGGAGGCAGAUAGCAGGUACAGAUAGGGUCACCACAGGUGGUCGGAUGAGAUUAGAAACCACCGAGGACCUGUGCAGGGCGCAGGGCCAUGGGAGCACAGGAACCUAUUCUAGGCCAAGGUCCAGAGAGUGCCAGUCUCAGGUCAGCUUGGAGUGUCAGCCUGAGGUGUCAGCUUGGAGUGGGACUUGCAUGGUCGUCACUGGCAGGAGAAACUGCUUUGCUGAAGCCCCUGACAGAGAACUGAAGGUUCAUUGCUGUGGUGACAUUCCUGGGUGAGGCUGUGAUGAGUGACCAGGUGACAGGGUCAGCAUGCUGCUGUGUCCAGGCUCAGGUGCCCCUCCUUCUGUGGGUCUCGAGUGAGGGGCUGCAUCCUGAGGUGGUUCCACUAGCUCCUGGGCCUGAUUUUUCCAAUAUGAGUUUGAUACACCCACACAUUCAUGUGCUUCUGACUAAUCUGUAAGUCACAGGUGGUCACUUUUACGAGCAUGAUCAAUUUAUUUAUCAGCAUGUGCCUUAUGGUGGUGCCAGGCAGAUGGUGGCUGUUGAUUUGCACAAACAAGGUACAGAGUUCUUGCUCUGAUUAGAGCAGCUCAGGGCAAACUGGGGCUUUAUGAAAUGGGGUGACUCAGGGUUAGGCUGAAAUCAGCUGUUCUGUCCACCGUGGAGUCACAAAGGGAAGGGCACAGCCUGAGAGCUGCUGUUCUAAACACCAUGGAGUCACCCAGGGCAGGCUCAGCCUGAAGACAGCUGUUGUACACACCAUAGAGUCACUCAGGGCAGGCGCAGCCUGAGGAUUGCUGUUCUGUACACCAUGGAGUCACCCAGGGCAGGCUCAGCCUGAAGACAGCUGUUGUACACACCAUAGAGUCACUAGGGCAGGCACAGCCUGAGGACUGCUGUUCUACACACCAUGGAGUCACUAGAGCAGGCACAGCCUGAGGACUGCUGUUCUGUACACCAUGGAGUCACUAGAGCAGGCACAGCCUGAGGACUGCUGUUCUACACACCAUGGAGUCACUCAGGGCAAGCGCAUUCUGAGAGCUGCUGUUUUGCACACCAUGGAGUCACUAGGGCAGGCUCAGCCUGAGGACUGCUGUUUUGCACACCAUGGAGUCACUAGGGCAGGCACAGCCUGAGAACUGCUGUUCUACACACCAUGGAGUCACCAGGGCAGGCUGAUCUGUACACCAUGGAGCCAUGCAGAGUUGGAAACAGCAUAGAAACUGCUGUUGGAUGCCUCAUGGAGUCACUCAGAGAACACAGCCAUUCUCCACACGUUCUCUGACUUCUAGGAGGCUGACCACUGACCACUGCUUUCUCUGGCUCCAUGUGCUAGAUCUGCAGCCUGAGAUGAACCUCAGAAGUGUGGUGGACAGAGGAAGUGGUCCUUCAUCUUGGGCUGUGCCCACACGCCCAGGCCACCCACAGUUGGUGGGACUGAAACUCCAUGCUGUAAGGGGGACUCUCUGUUAUUCAGUGAGGUCGUGCUGUGGUCACAUGAAAUAGUGGAGCCUGGUGUCCCCGGCCACAGGAAAAGUGCUCUGUCUGGAAGACAGGGGGUGGCAGGUGGCCGUGUGGAUCCUGGGAGGCCUCUGGCUGCACCCUCCUCCUGUGCUCACAAUCAGGCCACCAGUGGGGCAGACCCUCUCCUGGACCUGGUCAUCUUUGGGCCUGGGCUGCUCCUCCAGGCCUCUGGGACGCUACACCUUGAGAAUGUGCCCUGUGGGACCCCCUCCUCUCUGGGGCCUGUGUGCAUGCCCUGGCCUGGGCUGUCUGGAGGGCUGUGGGAAGGGGAGGCUCACGUGGCUGGACCUGGCUGGGGUUCUGCACACUGGUCCCCUAGGACGCCUUUGAUGACUGUGUGACAUUCUUACCUGGAACCCUUCUGCUGCCAAGUCCAGCCCAAGAGAGCAGAGUCCACCGAGUUUCCUCUCCCCCAAUUUGUAGAUGUUUUCUCUUUGGGGGAGAAGAAAUCAGGACUUACUCUUGAUGAUGCUGGGUGUCUCCACACCAUGGGGCCCUUCUCCCCAACCGCGGGUCACCCCCCAUCCUGCUUGGGGUUUCACUGGCCCUCCUCCAACCUGGGCUCACAGGUGGCCUACUACCUCCUUCUCUCUCCCCAGAGGCCUGUGCUGCGCUGGUUCUGGGUGGGGGGUCCCACCAUCCCGAGCCUCUGGGGAACCUCAUGUCACAUGCUUGCAGGAGCCUGGCCCCAUUCCCACCCAAGAUUAUUCCUGGACCAGUCCUGGGGAGAGAGGCCUGAGGAUCCCUCCUCCUGGCCACGUCCACUUUGUCCAGAGAGGCAACAUGGAACAGCGGGUGCUCAGGGGGGCGGGGGACAAGAGAUGGCACUGCCACUAGGGAAGGCAGCCUGGCAGCUGUGGGGACAGCUAGCAUUCCACGUCCCAGGGGAGGCCACGGGAAGUGAGGCCCCUGGGCACACAGCCACUCUCGUCAUGGAUAAUUCUCCAGACCCAAAGCAGGAGCAGCCUGCAGGCCCAUCCCUGGUGAAUGAGCAGGACACUAGCAGGUGGGCUAUCACCUGGCAGGGGGACCUUCAACCCAUGAGAUGAGCCAAGCCACAGGUGGUGGGGCCGUUCCCACCAAUGUCCACAACAGGCAGAUUCACAGAGAAAGCAGACCAGGCCUGGCCAGGGCAAGGGGGAGGGGAAAGGGUCCAGCAAUGACAGGCCAAGGGUCUGGAUGGGUUUCGAGGUCAGGACUGUGUUCUAGGCCUGGAAUGUUCUGGUGGCUUCACAACUCAGAGAGUCCACCAAACACCACUAACUUGUCCACCAAACACCGCUAACUUGUCCACUUCCAGAGGGUGAAUUUUAUGGUCUGCAAGUUACAUCUCAAUAAAGCUGUUAAAGAAAAAGGAUUCCAGGGGGAUUAUGAGGGGUGGGCUUCCCUGACUCCUGGGAUCCAGCCCAGGGCCCCUGGACACUGGGCAGGGGGCUUGAAGGAAGCAUCAUGGGGCCCGAGAGAGUCCACUCCUGCCGGAGGCCUGGCCUCUGCCUCCCACCCUCCUUCCCUUCCUGCCUCCCCUCAUGUCUCCUGGGUCUUGAACCUCCUCCUUGCCAGGACCCCACAGCGGGUAGUGGCGAUGACAUUAAAAAGCCCCUUCCCAGCUACAAAAUACUCCAAAGUGCUUAGCGGCCCUUGGGAGCAGCAGAGGGUGAGAGCCAGGACCUCAGGCGCACUAGCCACAGGAAGGAAAAGUCCCUCUUGAAGCUUCCCCGGGGUCAGCCAGGGCCACAGGACAGAAACCCCCAGGGCUCUGGCAGGAAGCUUCCUCCUGCCGAGGCCCCUUUUAACUUCCCAGAGAUAAUGCAGUGCAGAGUACCUGCCAGGCACCUGAAGACAGAUGACCAGUGUUUGCCGGGAAAUAGUUUGUGUCAGAGCAAAUUGGAAUUUAUAUCUCAGGAGGCCGGUAAUCCCCUUUAGAGUGCUCCAGCGUCCCCAGGACGAGCGGGCUUGCGCAGGGCUGGCGGCUCGCUGAAGACAGACAAAGCCGUGCGCCUCCGAAGACCCCUGCUCGCCCAGUCCUACUCUGGAUAUCUUAAUUGAGUCUGCAAACCCUAGGACACCACGGAGAAAACAAGCCUCACGAUGUCCUCUUCCAGCUCCGCACAGGAUCAAGGUCGUGUUCACCUUCGGGAAACUCAAGAAACAAAGCAGGGAAGGAGUUGUCUUCCUGGGGGUUAGUUUUGUGUUAUGCUUGUUCUUGUUUAGUUUUGUGUAUAUUUUUAAAGCUUGUGAACAGAGGAGAAAAAUCCAGGGGCAUGUUCCCACUAAGUUAAACUAGUUGUUCUUAAAAUCCCAAAUCCUUCUACAGCUUUUUAUUCCCAAGGACCAGUACACAAUCUGCUUUGCUCUUGAUUUAAACAUGCUGACAAGCGGCUGCCGGCUCGCCUGCGCGGCGCGAGAGUGGAUUGGGGCUGUCAUAUAUAAUGCAUGAGAUGGGGAGCCGCGGAUGCGGGGAGCGGGGACGGGAUCUGCACAGGACUCGAGGUGAUCUGCGUGCAGCUCUGUGCCCAGAGUCACUGUGCAAACAUAUUUACCCUGCAUAAAAGAAAGGGAUGAGUCUGCGCAGGACGAUUGUCCACCGGAGUGGAUUUAAUUUCUAAACCUGCAUUAGAGCAGGAUUAACCUUGCUGAAGGGUACCGUGACGUGGGCAGAAUGUAUAAAGCUAACCCCGGGUCCGCACAGCCAGAGGAGGAGCACUGGAUGGAAUUAAACAUUUAUUGCACAUAAAUGCCUUCUCUGCAGCCUCCCUCCUCCCUGCCCAGUCACCUCUGUGUUGCAGGUUCUCUGCUGGUGGAGCAGGACACAGGCCCCUGGCUCAGGCCUGACCUUAUGCUGCUUUCUGCAUCCUCCCAGCAUCCCUGGUCCUGGUCCUUCUGGUGACAAGAGACAGCUGUGGACAGGGGCUGGGUUUGCAGGCUCCCAUAGGCACAGGCACGUGUACGCAGGUUGAAACACGGUCCCUGCUAGGGUUCUCUGCCUCUAUGGAGGAGAGAUCUCUGGAAGGCCGAGAACCUGGCCAGGAAACACAUUGCCUGUUUCCUGUUCUGUGAUUGGGAGGCACGCCCUGUGAAGAAUCCCAGGGAAGGCUCUGAUUGGCCGUUCAUCAACCAAUCGUCACAGCUGAGGAGGAGGAGAGAGGAUCCUGAGCCCCAGGCAGCACUGUGGGAAAUGGAGGUGGAGCUCAGGCAGGCUGUCUCCCUUGGUCAAGGUGUGAGCAGUGAGUGUCCCACAUCCCAGGAGACCCUGCAGUUCUGGGCACACAAGAAUGGUUGGUAACUGUCUGCUCAAGAAUCCACCUAGAAAUUUCCAAAUCUGAUGAGUGAGUUGGGCAAGCAGGUUGUAGCCUAUUUCUUAUUUCACCACAAAUUGUUUCAAUAACAGACAUUUCAAAAGGAACAACAAAUAAGAACUGAAACAGGGUCACAGAACAUCUUGUGGUUUCCUUACCGAAACACGAAUCCUCAGUUCCUCGUGUGGUUCAGCCGAAGCUGCCUUGGGGGAACUCCUGCUGCCCCAGCCCCAUACCAGAGGCACGUUUCUCUUUGAAGCGCUGCCAGGGGUACACCUGGGGCACUUGGGAAUCGGCUUCAGGUCUUUUCACUCCUCCAGAUGGAUCCCUGACACUAGGGGCAUCUGGAGAGUUUCAGUUUCUUUCCCUUUGAGCAGGAGGACAAGGCCCGAGCCCCUGAAUUGCCCCAUGACCUGCACAGAAGAGCCAUGACGAGGACAGAGCUGGUGGUGGGAAGGACCCUGAGGGACUGACUCUGCCUUGUCCUGUGCUGGGGCCUUGGGCCACCUGGGCAUGGUCAUUGCAGAGCAGGUGUCCGCAGCUAGCAGAACCACCUGGGUUUCAUCCACCCUGAUGUAAAAAGUAUCCACAGUGAUAUAAUGAGAGAUGACAUCCUUCGAGGACAUGGUGGGAUUGUGCUAGUAACCAAAUCACCUUACUUCACCUUCCUGGGGGGGGGGGUCUCCUUCAUUCUCAUUUUACAUUUGAUGACACUGAAGGCCCCUGGAGGAGGUCACACAGCAGACCCUGGGUGUGGGUGAGCACUGGGUGCACGUGGAACAGGGGCUUUGCAGGAGGAAGAUUCUUGCUUUCUCUGGACACGGACCUCUGUCCCCAAGGUCACCCCCGACAACAUCCUCCUAGGAUACUCCCUGCUUGAGGCUCAGCCCUCAAAUCAGUCCUGCUUCCUCCAAUCUUCUCUCCCUGGUUUGGCUCAGCUGAGAGGAUGUAAAGACUAUGUGAGUAAAAUAAUCUCCAUGCUUGUAAGCUCAGCCCGGAAGGGAGGGUCUUGUUCUGCGUCCCCUUGCUUCUGAACAUGCUUCGACUACCAACUGGAUAAUCAUGUCGGGGAAAUGAUCAAUUAAGUUAGGACAUUUCCCCAUCCCUGCCUGACCAGCCAGCCUCCCUUUCCCUCUGCAUUCACACACCCUGAAGAGCAGAAGGAAUGGGUGGGAGGCGCUGGGCUGUGGGAAUAUGCCCAGCCCUACCCUUCAGUGUGGACUGGGUUUGUUCUGGAGUCGGAGCUUAGGCUCAGCUGCAACAAAGAGAAUGUCCAAGAGCCCGGGGCGUGGCCCUCUGAGGCUCCUCCCGGCUCUCAGUGGGGCUGCUGAGCACCUGCUCUGGGACAGCCAUGGCCCCAGCAGGAACCAGGCAGGAUUGCUCAGGUGCCCACUGGGCCGGGGCCGCUCAGGGCUUUCCUGCUUGCUCUGUGGCUGCAGAUCCAUCCCAAGCCUGAUCAGGACAGGGCCCCUGCCUGAGAGGUGGGAUGCUCUCCCGCUGUCUGGAGGCAGGGAGGGCAGGUCCCUCAUGGUGCGCAGAGGGCAGGAUUGACCGUUUUGCUUUGCCUUGAGGCAGAGGAGGGGGAGGGAGGAUCCUGAGCUCCAGCCAGCACUGUGGUUGCUUGGCAGAGGGGGUCAAGCUCAGGUUCCAGCUGUCACCCCCACUUGCCAGGUCAAAAAGUGAAGGCUGUAUCAGGAGGCCGUGUGCCAGUCGCCACCAGAAUUGGAGUCACCACGGAGCUCAGCUCUGGAACUCAAGCUGGAACCGCGUGUGCCACCUGCCCGUGAGGUGCCAGCCUGCUUCUCUGCCCUCCACCUCGUUGUUCCUGGAAGGAGGGCCACACACUGGAGUCACAUGUGCUGUGGCCCUGGAGAGACUGCUGACAGCCCCCGACCUAGAGGUGUCCAAGCACCUGGGGAAGCUCCCCUGGAACUGGUGCUGGGUCAGGCUGGUGAGGCCUCUCCAGGUUGUGCUGAGCCUCAACUGCCUCACCCCAGGGGAGGAAAGGCCCUCGACACCCCCAAACACCUCUACCCAGUCUGCCCCCUGGCUACAGGUCCAUCCGUCCGACCUCAGUGCCCAGGAAUCCCCCUCCUCCCUCCCCUCCAAUGCUGCCUCCAAGGUGGAGCCUGGGAGGCCCCUGUGGGUCCCCGCUGGCCCCCUCCGAGGCCUGCCCCUGUCCUGCACUCACAGACUGGGUCUGCUCUCCUGAGCAGGCCCCUGCAGCCCUGGCCCAGGCCUGGGUGAGCUGUGGAUCCACAAUGACUGUUGGGGAGUGGACAGACGGGGGUGGGGAGGCUGUGUCAAGAAGUCCUUCCAUUCCUCCCACGACUCAGGGACUUGAUUUAAGACAGGUCUUGCUCUCAAGCAGUGACCAAACCACCAUAGGCUGGGAGAGGACAGGGACCUGGCGGAGUGGCCACCUUGAAGAUGCUCCCAGGCUUUGGGGGAGAGUGGAGCAAGCACCAGUUAGAGCCGGUGUGGUGUGUCCCCAGAGGAAGCCCUGGUGUGGGCAGCAGAGGACAGAUGUGACCAAGGUGGGGCUUGGACCGGGCCAUGGCUGGGUAGGGGUCUGAGCAGUCUGGCUGCUGGCCCGUUCCUCCACCACGGUGCUGGGCCAGCAGCCAGGGCGUCCUCUGGUUUUGCCGCGUGGGCUGCAGCUCAGGUGUGCGGGCGCCAGGGGGACUCUGCUUGCUGUUCUGCUGAACGCUGCUCCUGCACACCAUGGUAAACGACGUGGUCUUUCAAGGGUGUCCAGAGACCAGUGGACACUGAGCAGGACUCCACGCUGGAGAGGCCUCUCAUCAGUGGACACACGGGUCCAGGUUGAAAUGUUUUCCUCCAAUUGCAUUUGGCACUGAAUGGAUUGAAGCCCCUUGGCCUGGUGGCCUGUCUCGAAGUUAACCCUGCAUGCUCCACAUGGGUCACACUCAGCACAGGCUGCAGCCACCUGCCCUCUGCAGGGAGAAGCAGCAUCGCCUGGGUAGAACCUCUAUGCCUGAUGGCCUCAGGGCUCUGUGUGGCUAGGAAGAAGGACCCUCAUCCUUGCUGCUGUGCGUGCCCACGGGGAUGGCAGCUACACAGGAUACAGAGGUGGCAGCACCCUCACACCAGGCCACAGAGCCCCCUGUGGCCUCCUGUCCACAGCAGCUCUGUGGGCAGCCCACGUGUACCUCCCGAGCAGCCCUGUCAUGGCCCCGCCCUUACCUGGAGUGGUCUGUGUGGGUUUAGCGUGUAUUUACUGAGCACUGACCCUGGGCCUGAACACAAGGGCAGACCCCCACCCCCAGGAGCUUACUUACCUUCUCCUGGGUCGGGUGCAGAGGAGAGGCACGUGGCUGUGCAUUGUCAGGUGGAGAUUAACGUUUGCAGAAAGGUAAAGUGGGGUGAGGGGACAGAGGAGGACAGAGGGCUCCACCUCACACAGAAAGGCUGAGAACAGCUUCGACCAGGCAACACCAGAGCAGGACUCAGGUGGGUCCUAUGAUCUUACCCCUGUAUACUAUCCUUGCAGCUGCCCAGUGGACAGAAAAACAGGCUCAGAGAGGGUGAGGAGCCAGCCCAGGGGUGCACAGUGUCGAUGGCAGGAGGAGAGACAAAGUCUUGUCUAUUCCAGAGCCCUUUUCUCCACCCUGAGUGGAUGAGCCAGAAGACCUUAGAGGUGGCCACACAGAGGAAGUAAGUGCACAGAGAGGACAGAAAGCGUACGUCCCCAUACACUGGCAGGCGGUGUGGCUUUCCCUCUUCUUCGUAUUGCUUCUCCUUAACUUUCCAAAUUUGUUGCCGUGGAAAUUUGUACCUCUAAUGACCAGGUAAGAGAGAAAGAAAGCAGGCAAGCCACCUGACCCAUGUCAGAGCAGCUUAAAUGUCCCCUUUUUAGGAUAGGAUGGCUGGAACGAUUUGGAGUGACCGGCAUCUCUGCAAGUGCCGACAGGAGUUGAAAGAUGUCCACUAAGUGCACUGGGACCCCCACCCCCACCCAGGCAAGUGCCCUGCGGACCUUCUCCUCCAGGGAACUGGAGGACCCACACGCCUGAUGGCAAGCUCUCAGAUAAGCAAGAACCGGUGCCCAGGGGUCACCACCUGAGGCUCAACAGGGCCAACCCCCGGCCCCCUGGGAGAGAGACUGGAGGUGGCCCUGAACUCCCAGGACCAGCUGGGGGCUCAACCCAGGUUCAGCCCUGCCCUGCCCUGCCCACUGUGUGUCCUGUCGAGGGGCUGGCUUUGGAGGAAUCAGGAUGGAGUCCUAUGUUUUAAAUCCCCACCUCAGAGCUGCUUCUGCCUCUCCCCGCUCCGUGCUCUGGAGCGGGGACGUCUCCAUCUGCCUCUGCAUCUUUUGUCCUCCCCCUCCCGAGCACCCCAGGCUCUCUGCUGCUACAAAGGGGCUUUGAUUCUCUGCCGAGAAUCUGGGCCACAGGCUCCAAACGAGACCGUUCCUCUUGGGAGGAGCAAGAGGAAAGUCAUUUUGCAGGCUGUAGGUAAUUAAGUCACCACACAGUUAUGGAGCACGAAUUAUAUGAUGAUUAAUCCCGGGGACCGCGAGGAGAUUUUUCAUCUUCAAAGCUCUCCCGGUGCCUCAUUAAUCAUCUCAGCCCAGGGGGAGGGAAGGGCUGGUUCUCUUCCUGCAAGUGGGGAAACUGAGUCAGCUGUGCCUACCCCACCGCUCUGCCUGGGGACAGGGUGGGAACAGCCCCCCUGGGAGCAUGGAGGGGUGUGCAGGGCUCCUCCUGGUGUCUGGCUGGUGGCUUCUGCCUGCUUCCCAGCCUCGCCUGGGCACGCAUGCAAGAAUCAAUAAAAAUGUUAUUUUAAAUAAAAAGAAAGCCAGCCAGCUCUGCUCGGGAGGCUGCCAUCGACUGCCACCGCUCUUCUUUGUUCUUUUUCUCGGGUACCUGCGCAUUUCCAGCUCACAGCCUCCCUCGGAAAGCCGCCUGUCUUCCCAUUUUCUUAGCGAGCAGUUUAAAGGAAAGCAGCGUUUUGCUCUCAAAUGCCUUCCCUUUCCAAUUGGGACACACUGCUAUAAAUACAGCGCAUCCUGUUUUGCAUUCAGAUUGUCCUGGAAGUGUGGGGCUGUAAAUAAUACUCUCUCGCCGCUCCAGACAGGGUUAUUAUUAUUUUUCUCUCCCCACUUCUGGAGCUGGUGAUAAAUUAAACAUUUCUUUUGCUCCCCACGCCCCGCAGCUGAUGUGCAAGAUGGGGUUGCUGGCUCUGCACCUGCUGUCAAGGCUUGGAGGUGACCUGUGGGUCCCCAGGAAGGCAGGGGAGCAGUGAGGCCAGGGUCAGGAGGGAGCCGCUCUGAGCUGGGUGCGGGUGGGGGUGGGCGCGUUUCUGAAUCAGCGCUUCCUUUGGGGGUUUUCUUCCAAUAAUAAGGAGAGUGCCCCAGAUCCGAGGGUGUCCCUUACACAGGGGGAGAAACUGGGGCUGUCAGGAGAUUCCUUCUCCAAACACAGAGACCACAGUCUGCUCCGGGUCUGCGGCCUCACGCCAGCCUGGGCAGGGGUCUGUCCUCUGGGGUGCUGGGCUUGUGGAGGUGGGAGCGGCCACUGCCCUGGGCCCUUCCGGGCAGCAGCAGGGGUCACAGGCGUCUAGGGGGAGGACGAGCCCCCAGCUGGGGCAGAUCCUCAGGCCCGGCUCACCCCGCCUCGGGCACUCUCGGCAUCUGGUUUUCCUCCUCUCAGUGUAAAGUGCAGACAAACAGCCCUCCUCGGCCUGGGGAGACCUCAGUGACUGAGGACCACAGGUCUGUCCAGGGCGAUGGACACCACCAAGAGCGGCGAGGACACCUGGGGCCAGGACAUCUCAGCCCUCGCAGAACCCCAAGGUGCUUUUCUCUUUGGAAGACCUCCCCGUGUCCAUCUGGAAGCUUGCGGUAGACAGCACUGGUGGCCGAGUCACACCCAGAUCUGUCCUACUUCUGCCCAGGCUCAGGUGGGCGAAGGCCCUGUCGUGGUGGGCCCUCCUGCUCUCCCCUCCAGGCCACCCAGAGGGAAGCCGUUUACCUUUUGACUCUAACUGAGCCACAGUCCUCAGGCCACCCUUCCAAAUGUGCCAAGUGAGGGCCCUGAGGCCCCGAGGCCUGGGCAGGAGACGGAGAAGCCAGCGAGCUCCCGUGGCCAUCUGUGCCCUGCAGGUUCCCGGGAGGCUCAGGGCCAGGCCUGGGUGGUGGCUCCCCUGUUGCCCACCUUCCAGGCCCCCCAACCUUCCAGGUAGUUGUGGGAAUGCAAUGCCCC
rnacentral:lncRNA from 1 species